rnacentral:rRNA from 1 species
AUACGAAGGGGGCUAGCGUUGUUCGGAAUUACUGGGCGUAAAGCGCGCGUAGGCGGACUGAUCAGUUGGGGGUGAAAUCCCAGGGCUUAACCCUGGAACUGCCUCCAAUACUGUCAGUCUUGAGUUCGGGAGAGGUGAGUGGAAUUCCUAGUGUAGAGGUGAAAUUCGUAGAUAUUAGGAAGAACACCAGUGGCGAAGGCGGCUCACUGGCCCGAUACUGACGCUGAGGUGCGAAAGCGUGGGUAGCAAACAGGAUUAGAAACCCUAGUAGUCC